GUUACAACGUAAAAGGCUCAGUGUGUGUGGACGGCGCCCAGGGCUUGCACAGCUGCGUAAAGUAUUAUCCAUUUGCUGGGACUGAGCCUCGCAAAUAGAAAACAACAAACCCCACCACAACGUCCUCAUCGCCCUGCAUGCAGUGAACUUUACACCAAAUUAAACUAGUCCGUGUGACGGAUGAAGACACACUUACAACAGCAGAGUGUGGGGUGGCGGGCAGGCGUGUACGGCGCCGGACGAAGAAUGGACCAGACUCGCCGAGGGACGGGUGCCAUGUGGCAGAGGAUGUGCGGGGACACAGAUGGGGACCCCUGGAAAACUUGGGGGACCGCGCGAGCGGCCAAGGGCCUCCCAUCAGUACCUGCGCUGUGAAUGCUGCAGCUGAACACGGAUCCGGCACCUGUUCUAAGCAGAUACAGGCGGCAGGCAAAGGAGUUGAGGGAGGCCAGCACACACGGCUGCCAACCCAGGGAAGGAGAAGGCUAGAUUUCCAUUUACCCAUAAGCGCACCCUGAUUACUAAACCAGCACAGACAGAAAAGCUGGUGCCCUGCUGCAGAAUGCAGUUGUUCUUUUUUCAGAUGCAGGAGCAUUUUAGUAAACUCCCCAUAGAAAACAUUUCAAUAAGAGCUUUCUGGUUGUGUAUUCAUUUUUAAAAAGUCUGGAAAACUUGGGUUUAGAAAUUCAAACAACCUUUUUAGGCUGAUUUAUAAUUUUUUUUAGAUAAGCAAAUCAAAAUCGCAGUGCAUUUCCUAUUGUCACAGCCUAACCUCCUGCGAUUGCUCUCGCUCUCUCUCAGAUAGCAUAUAGCUCACACGGGUCCCCACUAUGUUCGCUGCGGCGCUACUUGGUUUGUUUUUGACUGCUGUAGAUUCUCCCAGGGGUGGCGUAACUCUUCACCUCGAUGUGGAGGAGGAUGUUCCUAUUGUGCUUCCUAAUUGCAAUGUGGUUGUUCCAUUUAAGAGAUAGAACGUCCUUAUCUGUUCCGUGUGCGAUCUCGUAUUAUGUGGGAAUAUCCCUGCGAGAGCCAUUGUGUCUAUUUUGAUGAAGAUUUUUAAAUUGAGCUAAUUACAACUUUGAUGUAAUGUUUUCAUAUUCUGACAGCUAUGUUUACGGGUUAUAAGGAUAGGGCUAAAUCUGUCAAACUAAGGGAAGCUUACAGUAAUAUUGGUUGUCUCCUGUUUCUGUUUUUAUACAUUUUAUACCUUAUUAAAACCUCAUACAAAAUGUAAAACUUUAGUCUUUGUCUUGGAUUAGAAGUCGCUACCUGUCUUUUCCAUUUUAGUGGGCCAACAUACUUCCAUCGUGACUCUGGCCUCAUCGUCCUGCACCAGCAGACUUUGCUCCGCGUGCAUCCUGAAAACCAGACGCGCUAAUGAUUCAGAUGAGUGAUGUUAUAAGUUGGCCGAUGUGAGAGAGCCCCCUUUUAAUGGCUACUGUGGAGGAUAGACAAAGCAGAGCAACAGGCCGCGUGAUGACGGCUUCCGAGUCGCACCGAGAUCAAUUCAAAUUUAAAUAUUUCGGCAAAUGUCAUUCAUAAGAUUUUGAGAGGUUAAAAUUUAAAAGAUCUAAAAAAGAAGUAAAGCACAUGUGAUGAGUCUCCAUCAGAGUUGAAUUGCUUUAUCAUCCAGCAGGAAAAUUGCUUUGUUUUGCGGAAUGAACAAAUCAGUAGCACAAAUGUUAACAGUUAUAUUUAAAUAACAUCUAAAAAAUCUUUGCCCUUCAUGUUGUGGUAGCAUUUUUUCCCCUUGUAUCCUAGUUUUCCUGAUAUCUGUGAACUUGCACAAUGACAACUUCCUCAAUUUGCUUAAUGUUACAGCCAUGAACAAAACAUUUAUCUUUAUCGUUUCUUACCAUUGUUUUUAAGAGUGUGUUUUAUUGUUUGUAAUUAAUAAUUUUCCCCCCCAAUACUAAAUUAAAUAAUCACAAGCAAAAGGAGUUCACUGAAUUUAAUGUUGUUGUUUCAUUUCUU